rnacentral:piRNA from 1 species
UGUUGAUGUGUAUUAUUUGGGGGAACAGAA